rnacentral:lncRNA from 1 species
UGACUAAACUUGGCCACUGGUGCUUGGGCUCAUCAUCCCUUCUCCUCCAUCCCCUAAGGUCAAGGAGGUGGGGCUUAAAGUUUUAACCCUCUCUAAUCACAUGGUCAGUUCCUCUAGCAACCAGCUCCCAUCCUUAGGGACUUUCCAAAAGUAGGUUUAAUAACAAACCUGGGUGUGGCUGAAAGGGGUUUAUCAGGAAUAAACGAAAAGGUGUUCUUUUCACCCUUAUCAACCUAGUGCUAUUUCAGGAACUGAGGACAAAACCCAAAAGAUACACCUUUAUCACUCCAGAGCGGUUUCAGGAGCUGGGGAUGAAAACCAAAAGAUCUACUUUUUAAUAUAUCAUAAUACAUUAGGUUUUGUCAGUAAAAGGCAUUAAACACCACAGGAAGCAAAAGGGUUUUGCUUCCUGGUUCAGGUAUGCUUGUUUGGCAGGCUUUUUACAGACUGCUUCUCUGGCAUGGGCAACUCCUCCAGGUUUGGCUCCUGCAGCCUUGGGCCCUUACUGUGCUGAGGCUGUCCAGUGCCUGGCUCCUGCAGGGUGCAAUGUGCUGCAUCUUCCCCAGAAGGCCUCCUGCUGUGUUCUAGCCCAGUACCUCUGAGACCACCCUCCCAAAGAACAACCUUCUCCAUGUUCCCCAGAAUAUAGUUCUAGUAAGUUCUGCAGUUUGGGGAGGGGGACCAGUGACUUCUCUAACCGUGGCUCUCCAACCAGGUCUAGGUUUCAGCCCUGGGGCGGUAGCGGGGGGGGGGGGGUCUAUCACUGUCCUUGGUAGGGGAGAGGGGUGCCUUCCUUAGUACUCCAUCUCUGCCUUAGUGACUGUUACAUACAUCACGUUAUUUUGGUCAUUCUAUUAUAUCUGGUAUUCUUUUAUUCUUCAGAGUUCUCUUAGUAAUCCCUCAUUUCCCCCAUCCAUGUUAAAACUUUCCCUGUUUGAUGACGAUGGUUUCUCUUCUGACUGGACCUAAACACUAAAUUGACCUAGAAAUAGACCCUGGAGUGACAACUGGAGAUAGACCCCACAAAAACAGAAUUUGAGGAUUGGUUUGUUCAUGCCUUUGUGCUUGAGUUCCUUGCAAAUGGUAGUAAUCCAUGGCAUGUAGGAGCAUCACAAUGAAUCAAGAAGUGCUAACUUAAAACGCAUGCUUCACGAGCCAAACACUUACUACACUUAACCCUUAUACUAGUAAGAUGACCAUAAAGACUGUGGUGUUGGGUGGUUUUUUUUUUAGUUCACCUGAAUGCUUACAAAGAAAAAAAAUUACAAGCUCAAGUCCAUUAACUGCCAGCUCCCAGUCAUAGUCUGAGAAUCAAAGAACUUCUGUGGCAACUCUAAAAAAAAAAACAAAAAACAAACAAAAAACUUAGGUCUUGCAGGGAUGCCUGGGUGGCUCAGCGCAUCAUCCUGGGGUCUGCAAUCAAGUCCCACAUUGGGCUCUUUGCAGGGAGACUUUCUCCCUCUGCCUCUCUGGGUCUCUCAUGAAUAAAUGAGUAAGACCUUUAAAAAACCUAGGUCUUGUAGUCACAGAGCUGAUAUUCCUGAAAAACAACUGUACAGGGUGCUGAAUUACAACAGUUGAAUUCAGGCUCACAUUAAAGUGCACGGAUUGGUACGGAAUAAGACCCUGUGGAACCUCCUCUGUGGAUCCAGAUGAAACUGACAAUCUUUAAUGUCCAAGUCAUUCUGAAUCUCCACCCAUACCAGUUGAUGCAGACUACCCUGCAAGGUCUACAAAUAGGCCUUCCUCUGCUUAAAAACCCUAUGAUAACCUCAUGUGGGGCACACUCCUUGAAAAGGGAUGCCAUUCUCCUUAAUAUCCAGCACAACCACCUCCAAUUGCCAUGAGAGUUCUAUAACUAGGGUCAAAUAGCAUGCUCCAGGCAGCCGGCCAGGUAUACACUACAACCCACAAAGAAACCGCUUCCACACCAAACUGAAGUGGAUAGGCAAAAUACGGGAAUGCUGGCUAUUAAAUACUAAGAAACAACGGCCUAUAUGCUUGAAGUCUUCAAAAGAUGCUGAUGAGAAAUCACAACAAAAACAUUUAACAGAAUACCACAGCAUUUCAGUAAAUUAAAAAUACAUGCAUAUAAAACAUCAAUAUACAUUAAAUGCACUAGAAUGGUUGCCACUGGAGAGGGGUAAAUGGGAGUGGGAAUAAAAUGUGAAAGUGAAAUGAGAAGGGCCUUGUAUAGAUUAAUCAUCAUAAUGUACCAAAAAACUAAGGACUAGGACUCAGGAAAAAAAAAAAAAAAAAACCUUGGCUUAUUACAGGGAUUUCUAUUUCUUCCCCAAGAUUCUAACAUAAGGUAUUGGGAUCCUUCCCCCAAUUCCAGCCCUGAAGAUGACAGAUGAUGAAAUCUACUACAUGUACAGCAUUCACCAUGUGCCAGGCACUAUUAACUCAAUUUAAUCCUCAUGUUCUGAGAUAUCCUAUGCUAAGAAAUAGAUCCUCUUCUCCCCAUUUGACAGGUGAGAGAACAUGGAGAGGUUAAGUAAACUGCCUAGGGUCACACAACUGGUAAUGCUGGAGCUUGAAUUCAAACUCAAGGUAGUCUAGAUAUAACUGAAGAACACCUAAAGACUGGAGAAGGGGAGUCUAGAGCAGAGAUGGAGGUCAGGAGACAGCGAUCUAAAACUAAAAUGGAAGAGGAACAGCACCAUGAGAGGCUAGAUAAGAAAUUUCUCUCCUUUCUUUCCCCUCCCCCAACAUUACUCUGAAAAGAACCUUCACCUCAUUACCAUGUUAAGACCGGCGGUGCUGGGAUGCCUGGGUGGCUCAGCAUCUACCUUCAGCCCAGGGCAUGAUCCUAGAGUCCUGAUUGAGCCCCCACAUCAGGCUCCCUGCAUAGAGCCUCCUCUCUCUGCCCAUGUCUCUGCCUCUGUGUGUCUCUCAUGAAUAAAUAAAUAACUCUUAAGAAAAAAAAAAAAAAACAGCGAGGCCAAGCCAGCUGGAAGUGGAUUAUAUGAUGGUAGCACUGAAGCCACUGGGGUUGACAGCAUAGUACAUGUAGUAAGAGCACACGGGUCCAUCAGCUCCCAAAACACACACACACCCCAGCCUGACAUCUUGAACCAAUAAAUACACCCUACACCCUCAAGAUAGGAAUGUGGCCAAGAUUUCCUUGAGGAAAUGGGACUAUCCCAAGAGGAAAAACAUAGUCACUGGCACCAGGGGUUCCCCAAACAGCCCCUACAGUGAAGUUCAGAGUUGAAAAACCCUCAGAGCUCAUCUCCUACUCUUAAAAUCAUGAGCAUAAACUCACAAUUUCCACUUUAAAAAGUCUCUAAACAUAGAAGAUGGAGUUUGAAGUAAAACAAAAACUCUUCAACAAUAACUUUGAGGAAAAAACAUUUCACAGAGGGAGGCGUGGGUGUCUCAGGGGUUGAGCGUAAUGCCUUUGGCUCAGGGCAUGAUUCUGGAGUUCCAGGAUCCGGUUCCGCAUUAGGUUCCUUGCAUGGAGCUUGCUUCUCCUCCCUGUGCCUGUCUCUCUCAUGAAUAAAAUCUUUAAUUAAAAAAUAAUUCCACAAAAAAUAACUUUUAAAAAUUAGUAUUUUUAGACAUAAUAUGGAGCUACAAUAACCAAGAUCAGACACAUUAAUUGAAAAAGUAAUGGAUGGGGAUCCCUGGGUGGCUCAGCGGUUUAGCGCCUGCCUUUGGCCCAGGGCGCGAUCCUGGAGUCCCGGGAUCAAGUCCCACGUCAGGCUCCCGGCAUGGAGCCUGCUUCUCCCUCUGCCUGUGUCUCUGCCUCUCUCUCUCUCUCUGUCUAUCAUAAAUAAAUAAAUAAAUCUUUAAAAAAAAAAAAAAAAAAGAAAAA